rnacentral:sRNA from 2 species
AGAAAGUGUGCCUAGGGUUCCGCCGGUUUUAUGGCCGGGUCUGUGACCGAGUGGCACAGGUGGGUAUUUUUUACCCGCUACACCGAUGGGACAAAAGCCCGGACGGG